rnacentral:rRNA from 1 species
GACAGAGGGGGCAAGCGUUGCUCGGAAUCACUGGGCGUAAAGGGCGCGUAGGCGGGAUGGCAAGUCAGUCGUGAAAUCUCUCGGCUCAACCGAGAAGCGUCGGCUGAUACUGCCGUUCUUGAGGAUUGCAGAGGAGACUGGAAUUCCAGGUGUAGCGGUGAAAUGCGUAGAUAUCUGGAGGAACACCGGUGGCGAAGGCGGCAUCCUGGACCGACACUGACACUGAGGAGCGAAAGCCAGGGGAGCAAACGGG